rnacentral:rRNA from 1 species
UACAUGUGGGGCAAGCGUUGUUCGGAAUUACUGGGCAUAAAGGGUGCGUAGGUGGUUUGUUAAGUCACGGGUGAAAGUUUUCGGCCCAACCGGAAAAUUGCCCGUGAUACUGGCGAACUUGAGUGCGCGAGGGGUAACCGGAACGAGCAGUGUAGCGGUGAAAUGCGUAGAUAUUGCUCGGAAGGCCAGAGGCGAAGGCGGGUUACUGGUGCGCAACUGACACUGAUGCACGAAAGCGUGGGGAGCAAACAGG